rfam:Ipomoea nil DNA, scaffold: scaffold0317, cultivar: Tokyo-kokei standard.
AUAGGAAUAACAGUGCAAUUCUCCUUUGGCAUGGUAAUGGAAGCUAUGCAGCAUGCAUAAAAUUCAACUGCAUAUGCCUCUUUCCUUUGCCAAAGGAGAGUUGCCCUGCCAUUCAAUU